CAAAUUUUUUUAGUGUCGACAAAACAAAUUAAUUUUGUUCCUAAAAUUUCUGAAUUUCCAAAUAAAUAAAAUCUAAAUUCCUAAAUUUUCUCCAUUAUCAUCCCACGUUCAAAACUAAUCACAAUUUAAACUGUUUUGUUGUCGAUCUAUUUGCAAAAAAAAAGUUCUAUAUUAAUCUUCUCUUUCUACUUCAUCUCUGUUUCUGCUAUUCCAUCGUUUCAUAUUUUUUUUUUUACGAUUGAGAUCUUUGACUGAAACAAAAAAAAAUACAUAUUUGAUUAUUCUUAAUUAAUAAUCCUUUUUCACAGAUUUCAAAUUUCAAAUAGCGUUUGAGUGAACUCAUGUUUCAAAUCUUAGCUCUUCAAUUAAAGAAGGCAAAUCAAAGGUUCCUCGGCAGCAAAGGGAAGGAGAGUUAGAGGCUCACCUUUAAAUCACACGUAUAUGGCUCCUAAAAACUCGAGAAGGACCGAAACAAGAAGAAAAAAUUGGUGAUAGUAAAAUAACUCGGGGCGGGUGAUAGAAGAACGAGGACUAUGUCUAUUAUCUAGAUUAAGAUCUAACCUCAGGAAAAUCAUAUUGCAUUUGCCUGGAGUUUUAGAAGAGUGGAAGCUUGCUCAAGAUGUCAUCGUUCAGGAUACAAUCGUGCGAGAUGCGACUUUGGAAUUUGACGUCUUUCUGUUCUAAAUGUUUUUUCUGCAACAUUUGUUUUUUUUUGGUUACUCUAGGUUUUGGUAACUGUUUUAGUUUUUAUUUGACAAUAAGGUUUGAUUAUUUUCACAACACAUGUUAUGUUUUCCAUUUGUUCUACACCUUUAAAGAACUAUGAUUCUGUUCAAGUUCAACAUAAGUGUCGUUAAUGCUAGA